UCUCAAGUCUCACGCAUUUCAACCAGUUCACACGCUCUCACGCCAACACCUUGUAUUUCUCACGCUGAGAAGGGACAACUUGUCCCGCUACAAUUACUGUACAGUUAGUAGAUGAGGGAAUACGGAGGUAAGUUUUAUGCCGAGUUCAUAACCGAACUCUCGAGUUAUAGAGUGUAAUGACACCUACCAGCCAAUCAGAAAUUAGGAUGUUGUUUCCAUUUAAAUAACGCGAUUCUGCCUCAAGCGGGUUCGUUACUAAGCAACAUGGGUUCGAUUUCCUGAAAUAAGAUCCUCUCGUCUCUAUUCCCGCAGAGGCCUGGUUUUACUACGAGUCUGAAGCAGCCACAUUUGGGCGGUUUUCUACUCAGAGGAGAGGAUUCAUCAAAUGUAGAAUUGGCCCAGACUUCUGCAGUGUCAAGUGAAGGAAGCUCCUCUCAUAAGAUUGCAGACCUGGAGUCUGAUGACACCGAGCGAGUGAUGGAGGGAGCAGAAUGAUGAAGAUGAAGCCAGAAUUAAACCAAGUUCCUGGCUUUUCUCAAGACCUUCAAGGACCCGAUUGACCUCGGAAUCAGCUGUAAAGGAGGAUGAAACCGAUGUUUAAGAAUGGGACAGCGAUAUUGCAUCAAUUUGUCUCCUUCAUUUGGUUCCACCAUCGCUGCAAGGGACCUGGAGAAAUGUCCUCCUAUCAAGCUGAAAAACAUCUUCAAAAAGGCACUAACCAGAAGAACACCUUGAUUGCAUAGAAGAGACCACACAGCCAUACCUGCUCGCUGAUGGGACAACGAGGAACAGCACUGCUACACAACUGUCGACAAGUAUCUUGCUGCAAUCUUGUUCAAAUCUACCUGUCAUAUUUGUUAAUGUCUAGGUAAAUUUGAUUUUAUGUGUUUUAUUAACUCUCUUAUGUUUCCGUGCAACACUUAAUGAAUGUGACUGACUAAUUAACCUCUACAUAUCUGGUAUAUGCUUUAAAGUUGCCACUUUGCCCAUUUGUUAAA